AGUCGACUCGUAAUAUUCCGGAGUCGACUCGAGUCUCAGACUUUGGUUCAACUUGACUUCUUAACUUAUCCAAAAUAUCUUGAACCAAAUCUAGAUGCACUUAACCAUAAAUUUAUAAGAUUUUCACUGAAACACUAGAUUGAAUUCAUUAGUAAACAUAAGAUAUACUCAAAUACUUUGAGCUCAUCAAAAUCAAAUAGGGUUAUGAUCAAUCACUCCACAAUCUCCCCCUUUUUGAUGAUAACAAAACAUUGAGUAUAUGUAAAGUGAAUUGCACAACAAACAAGGAAAUUUAUAAUAAAAUUUUUGAAAUGAAUUCAAGUGUCUGGUUAUUUAAUUUAUCCAAACUUGAAAGGUGUGAAACAAUAAAUUUCAAAGUUAGAGCUCCCCCUUUCAUUUGGAAUUAUAUAAGCCUUCAUGUCAUGCAAUCAAUUGUUUGGCUUAUAUAUAUUUAAUAAUUUUGCUUUCUUAAAAAUUCAGAUUCUCCCUCUCAAUAUAUGCAUUCAACUUUGUUUUGAUUCCCUGAAUUUUCUUUUAGUGCAUUGAAGCUUUUGAACUUAAAUUUUUUUGGUUUUUAGAGGGAAAAUCCGCCAAUUUGUUCUUGAGUAUGAUUCAACUAAUCUCCGAAUAUUCCUUGAAUAGAUUCUGGAGAUUCCUCCAUUAGGAGCCCCAACAGAGAGAUAAUGAGCCUCGAGGUAUUGAAUCCACUGAGAACAAAUUAUUGUGUGUUUUAAAAGUUUUUCUUUUUAUUAAUUUUCAUUGAUUCCUUUU
rnacentral:lncRNA from 1 species